rnacentral:rRNA from 1 species
GACGAACGCUGGCGGCGUGCUUAACACAUGCAAGUCGAACGGAAAGGCCCUGCUUUUGUGGGGUGCUCGAGUGGCGAACGGGUGAGUAACACGUGAGUAACCUGCCCUUGACUUUGGGAUAACUUCAGGAAACUGGGGCUAAUACCGGAUAGGAGCUCCUGCUGCAUGGUGGGGGUUGGAAAGUUUCGGCGGUUGGGGAUGGACUCGCGGCUUAUCAGCUUGUUGGUGGGGUAGUGGCUUACCAAGGCUUUGACGGGUAGCCGGCCUGAGAGGGUGACCGGCGACUGUGGAACGGAGAGAGGGCCCAGACGCCUGCGGGGGGCAGAGGGGGGGAAUUUGAAACAUGGGGGGGAAGCGGGAGGCGGCAACGCCGGGGGGGGGAGGGCGGCGUGGGGGGGGAAAACCGCUGUCGCCUGUGACGAGGGGUGGGGGACGGAAGGGGAAAAAGAAGCACCGGCAAACUACGUG